rnacentral:rRNA from 1 species
GACGAACGCUGGCGGCGUGCCUAAUACAUGCAAGUAGAACGCACAGUUUAUACCGUAGCUUGCUACACCAUAGACUGUGAGUUGCGAACGGGUGAGUAACGCGUAGGUAACCUGCCUGGUAGCGGGGGAUAACUAUUGGAAACGAUAGCUAAUACCGCAUAAUAUUAAUUAUUGCAUGAUAAUUAAUUGAAAGGUGCAAUUGCACCACUACCAGAUGGACCUGCGUUGUAUUAGCUAGUAGGUGAGGUAACGGCUCACCUAGGCGACGAUACAUAGCCGACCUGAGAGGGUGAGCGGCCACACUGGGACUGAGACACGGCCCAGACUCCUACGGGAGGCAGCAGUAGGGAAUCUUCGGCAAUAGACGAAAGUCUGACCGAGCAACGCCGCGUGAGUGAAGAAGGUUUUCGGAUCGUAAAGCUCGGUUGUAAGAGAAGAACGGGUGUGAGAGUGGAAAGUUCACACUGUGACGGUAUCUUACCAGAAAGGGACGGCUAACUACGUG